UACAGAGGGUGCAAGCGUUGUUCGGAAUUAUUGGGCGUAAAGCGCGUGUAGGCGGCCAGACAAGUUGGGUGUGAAAGCCCUCGGCUUAACCGAGGAAGUGCGCCCAAAACUGUUUGGCUUGAGUACCGGAGAGGAUGGUGGAAUUCCCGGUGUAGAGGUGAAAUGCGUAGAGAUCCGGAGGAACACCAGUGGCGAAGGCGACACGCUGGGCCGUACCCGACACUGAUGCGCGACAGCAUGGGGAGCAAACAGG
rnacentral:rRNA from 1 species